UGAUAUAAGCCAGGUUUGGUUUCAAAGAAGUUCUCGACUUCACAUUAGAAUGUCAGGCUCAUAUCAAAAUUGCUUAUUCAAAAAACAAAGUACACAAGUCACAUAACCUGAUAUAAGCCAGGUUUGAUGUUGCAAAUCUUUGCAAAAAAACAGUAUCCCAAUAAUUCUUCAUAUGUGCCUAUCAUAUCUUCCAUUCUGUAGCAUCCUUCCAAAUACAGGUGUAACUAACAACAGCAUCAGCAAGAACAAGAAAACCAAGGAGCAGAGCAUGGCAUGGCAUUCAGGGUAAACCUCGUAGCAGAAGUAGUCACUCACAGGUUGUUUGGGAGUAGACCGACAAACGGCCACCCACACUAUACAAGAAUGGUGCUCCUAGCCGAGUUCCCGACGAAGGCGCGCCGGAAGCGCCACAACAUGAGCGCCUUGUACCUCCG
rnacentral:lncRNA from 1 species